GUCAAAAGAUGGGCGCUAAAUUCCAAUACAAUAGGGGUCUAUUAGUUCAAGUCAAAUACCAAGACUACUUCUUUCUCAGGAAGUGCGCCAAAUACCUCCGAUCUCUACCGCAGGUGCCAAAGAAGAAUGAGAAGAAGCCCAAAAAAAAGUAAAAAAGAACACUAGGGUGAAUAUUGCAGACCAGCGAAUCUGGUGGUCGACAAUCGUUCGGACUUGGUAAAGGUGUCGUAAGAGUUUAGGUACGACUUUCAAAGCGACUCUCGACGGGAGAAUC
rnacentral:lncRNA from 1 species